CAGUCGCCGCGGUAAUACGGAGGGUGCAAGCGUUAAUCGGAAUUACUGGGCGUAAAGCGCACGCAGGCGGUCUGACAAGUCAGAUGUGAAAUCCCCGGGCUUAACCUGGGAACUGCAUUUGAAACUGUCAGGCUGGAGUCUUGUAGAGGGGGGUAGAAUUCCAGGUGUAGCGGUGAAAUGCGUAGAGAUCUGGAGGAAUACCGGUGGCGAAGGCGGCCCCCUGGACAAAGACUGACGCUCAGGUGCGAAAGCGUGGGGAGCAAACAGGAUUAGAUACCCCGGUAGUCCCUGUCUCUUAUAC
rnacentral:rRNA from 1 species